rnacentral:rRNA from 1 species
AUACGGAGGGGGCUAGCGUUGUUCGGAAUUACUGGGCGUAAAGCGCGCGUAGGCGGUCCGCGUAGUCAGGCGUGAAAGCCCUCGGCUUAACCGAGGAAUUGCAUUCGAUACUGUCUAGCUAGAGUGCGGGAGGGGAGAGUGGAACUCUAGGUGUAGCGGUGAAAUGCGUAGAUAUCUAGAGGAACGCCGGUGGCGAAAGCGACUCUCUGGCCCGCAACUGACGCUGAGGCGCGAAAGCUAGGGUAGCGAACGGGAUUAGAAACCCCAGUAGUCC